rnacentral:rRNA from 1 species
GAGCACGUAGGUGGGUUUGUAAGUCAGAGGUGAAAGCCUGGAGCUCAACUCCAGAACUGCCUUUGAGACUGCAUCGCUUGAAUCCAGGAGAGGUGAGUGGAAUUCCGAGUGUAGAGGUGAAAUUCGUAGAUAUUCGGAAGAACACCAGUGGCGAAGGCGGCUCACUGGACUGGUAUUGACGCUGAGGUGCGAGAGCGUGGGGAGCAAACAGGAUUAGAUACCCUGGUAGUCCACGCCGUAAACGAUGAUAACUAGCUGUCCGGGCACUAAGUAGAGGGG